CUCUUGCCUUGUGUAUUCUUUUGGAUUGGGAAAUGAAUGGUCAUUCGACAGAUAUAUGUCAAAGAGCUGCACAGUGUAUGGGUUUGAUCCAAGCAUAGGUCUAAAGCAUGAGUCACAGGAGGUCCAACCAAAUAUGUGGUUUUACAACAUUGGACUCUUUCGUGAAAACAGAGUUGUCAAGU